UACGGAGGGGGCGAGCGUUAUUCGGAUUUACUGGGCGUAAAGGGUGCGUAGGCGGUUGUGCAAGUCUGGUGUGAAACCUUCACCGCUCAACGGGAAGAGGUCACUGGAAACUGCGCAACUCGAGUGUGGUAGAGGCAAGCGGAAUUCCUGGUGUAGCGGUGGAAUGUGUAGAUAUCAGGAAGGACACCCGUGGCGAAGGCGGCUUGCUGGGCCGUCACUGACGCUGAGGCACGAAAGCGUGGGGAGCAAACGGG
rnacentral:misc_RNA from 1 species